AGUGAACGCUGGCGGUAGGCCUAACACAUGCAAGUCGAACGGCAGCACAGGAGAGCUUGCUCUCUGGGUGGCGAGUGGCGGACGGGUGAGGAAUACAUCGGAAUCUACUUUUUCGUGGGGGAUAACGUAGGGAAACUUACGCUAAUACCGCAUACGACCUACGGGUGAAAGCAGGGGAUCUUCGGACCUUGCGCGUUUGAAUGAGCCGAUGUCGGAUUAGCUAGUUGGCGGGGUAAAGGCCCACCAAGGCGACGAUCCGUAGCUGGUCUGAGAGGAUGAUAAGCCAGACUGGAACUGAGACACGGUCCAGACUCCUACGGGAGGCAGCAGUGGGGAAUAUUGGACAAUGGGCGCAAGCCUGAUCCAGCCAUACCGCGUGGGUGAAGAAGGCCUUCGGGUUGUAAAGCCCUUUUGUUGGGAAAGAAAUCCAGCUGGUUAAUACCCGGUUGGGAUGACGGUACCCAAAGAAUAAGCACCGGCUAACUUCGUGCCAGCCGCCGCCGUAA
rnacentral:rRNA from 1 species